AAAUAGAAUGUGUUUUAUUAUAAACUAUUUUUUAACAUACAUUAAUUUACUUGACUACUUUCAUGUACUGGUUAUGAGCCUGAUGAAGACUCAAUAAAGAGUCGAAACGUCGCAAUAAUAACAAUAACAUGACUGUUUAAUUUGUCAUUCAUUUUUUCCAACUACCUGCGAUUUUUUCAUAUUAUUUUAUGUAUUUGGAUGCGAUA